rnacentral:ncRNA from 1 species
CCGGCUGUUCCAUCAGCCGUUUCCUACCCAGACAUGCGGAGCUGGUAACGGCUCGGUGUGAAGCUCUGGGGACAAUGUAACCACCGAUAUUAUCGGUACGCAGACCCGCGAGGGGAAGCAGAAUCUGCUAGCACAAGGGCGGUGAGGAAC